rnacentral:rRNA from 1 species
UACGUAGGGUGCAAGCGUUAAUCGGAAUUACUGGGCGUAAAGGGCUCGUAGGCGGCCAACUAAGUCAAACGUGAAAUCCCCGGGCUCAACCUGGGAAUGGCAUUGGAUACUGGCUCGCUAGAGUACGGUAGAGGGUGGUGGAAUUCCCGGUGUAGCAGUGAAAUGCGUAGAGAUCGGGAGGAACAUCUGUGGCGAAGGCGGCCACCUGGACCAGUACUGACACUGAGGCACGAAAGCGUGGGGAGCAAACAGG